rnacentral:rRNA from 1 species
GAUGAACGCUGGCGGCGUGCCUAAUACAUGCAAGUCGAGCGGACGGACGAGAAGCUUGUUUCUCUGAUGUUUGCGGCGGGCGGGUGAGUAACACGUGGAUAACCUACCUUUAAGACUGGGAAAACUUCGGGAAACCGGAGCUUAUACCGGAUGAUAUUUUGAACCGCAUUGUUCAAAAGUGAAAGACGGUCUUGCUGUCACUUAUAGAUGGAUCCGCGCUGCAUUAGCUAGUUGGGAAGGUAACGGCUUACCAAGGCAACGAUGCAUAGCCGACCUGAGAGGGUGAUCGGCCACACUGGAACUGAGACACGGUCCAGACUCCUACGGGAGGCAGCAGUAGGGAAUCUUCCGCAAUGGGCGAAAGCCUGACGGAGCAACGCCGCGUGAGUGAUGAAGGUCUUCGGAUCGUAAAACUCUGUUAUUAGGGAAGAACAUAUGUGUAAGUAACUGUGCACAUCUUGACGGUACCUAAUCAGAAAGCCACGGCUAACUACGUG